rnacentral:tRNA from 2 species
AACUUCAUGGUGUAAUUGGUAGCAUACCAGAUUUCGGUUCUGGAGGUGGUGGUUCGAAAUCGCCUUAAGCGA